CUUCAUAUCUGCAGCCUUUGCUUCUUCUUUCUCUGGCUUCUUCUGAGUAACAUCUUGAACAUCAGUCUGCUUAGAUGGACCAUCUAUUGGACUGGUUUUGUCUGCAGUUUUCUGCUGAACAGUCUCCUGAGGUCGUGCCUCAUCCUCAGGCUUCUGGAAUUGCCGUGGCUCAUCUGCAGGCUUCUGGGAUACUGUUGACUCAUCUGUAGGCCUCGAAAUGUCAGACUUAUCUGCAGGUUUCUGGGAUUGUUGUGGCUCAUCUGCAGGCUUCUGGGAUACUGUUGACUCAUCUGUAGGCCUCGAAAUGUCAGACUUAUCUGCAGGUUUCUGGGAUUGUUGUGGCUCAUCUGCAGGCUUCUGGGAUCCUCGUGACUCAUCUGUAGGUCUCAAAGAUUCAGGCUUAUGAUCUGCAGGCUUCUGGGAUCCUCGUGACUCAUCUGUAGGCCUCAAAGAUUCAGGCUUAUGAUCUGCAGGCUUCUGAGGUGUGGGACGUUCAGGGAUAGUCAAUUUGCUAUCUUGCUUGCCUCCUGGAGCGAUGAGUUUUGGUAGUCUAACGUACAAUAUGCCUCCGUCAAACUUGGCAGCAAUUUUUUUAGUGUUAAUAUCAGAUGAAAUACGAAAUUCUUUCUGGAAGCGGAUAACUUUAUUGUUUUCAGCCUCUCUCUCUCCACUGACCCUCAACUUU
rnacentral:lncRNA from 1 species